CCUGGGGAGGUCUGCACCUGCAGCCUGCAUCCCCCUGGCCGGGGGGGCUGAGGACCCUCCCUGGGGGGCUGUGCAGGGCUGGCACGUCCCUGUGUUUGGACACUGUCCCCAUGACCCCUCUGUGCCUGCACGUCCCUGGUAAAAUGCACGGACUAGGACGAGCAAACAUCCCCACAGCUGCUUCCCGGCACUGGGAGCUGGGGGGGCUGCAGAGCCCUUCAGAAGACCCUGGCCAGGUGGGAAAGGGGGUCCCCGGCCACUUGGGGACACACAGCUUGGCUGCGGAGCGGGUUGGGGCCCUGGGAGAACCCCGGCCCCACUGACAUCAUGGUGACAGCACAAUGUCCCCAUGGCUACACAACAUCACGCGUAAGCUCCGUGGGUGCCAGCGGCCGCAGCAGGAGGAGGCAGCGCCGCACCCCCAGUACCACCAUGUGCCGCUGGGCCCCCCAGCCACGCGCCCCACCAAAGCGGCGCAAGAGGAGCCCCCGGCCCAGCAGCCGGCGCAGGCGGCGCCGUGGGAAGAGGCAGCGGAGAGGUUUCCAAGCAAAGACGGUGUAUUAUUACCGGAGGAACAGGGCCCUGUGAGCGCUCCCCAUGCCUGUGCCCCUGGAGCACCCGUGGGCGCUGCCAUCCACCCCAGCCGUGCUCCCCGACGGCUGCUGGGGAUUCACCUGCCAUUAAAUCCUGCGUGUCAUCCUG